rnacentral:tRNA from 1 species
GAUAAAGUGGCCGAGUUGUAGGCGGUAAACUGUAAAUUUACUUACGAAUGUUAUUUCCUUUAUCA